rnacentral:rRNA from 1 species
UACGAAGGGGGCUAGCGUUGUUCGGAAUUACUGGGCGUAAAGGGCGCGUAGGCGGUGUGUCAAGUCAGGCGUGAAAGCCCCGGGCUCAACCUGGGAACAGCGCUUGAGACUGGCACGCUCGAGUUCGGGAGAGGAUGGUGGAAUUCCCAGUGUAGAGGUGAAAUGCGCAGAUAUCAGGAGGAACACCAAUGGCGAAGGCAGCACUCUGGGACGUGACUGACGCUGAGACGCGAAAGCGUGGGGAGCAAACAGG